rnacentral:rRNA from 1 species
UACGGGGGGGGCAAGCGUUGUUCGGAAUUACUGGGCGUAAAGGGCUCGUAGGUGGCCAACUAAGUCAUACGUGAAAUCCCUCGGCUUAACCGGGGAACUGCGUCUGAUACUGGAUGGCUUGAGGUUGGGAGAGGGAUGCGGAAUUCCAGGUGUAGCGGUGAAAUGCGUAGAUAUCUGGAGGAACACCGGCGGCGAAGGCGGCAUCCUGGACCAAUUCUGACACUGAGGAGCGAAGCCAGGGGAGCAAACGGG